rnacentral:ncRNA from 1 species
GCAGAGUAGGACCGCACGUGUGAAAUAGUGCCGGAAAAACGGGGAGUUGUUUUCCGGACGAAAGGGCAAAGUGCCUUGCAGUGUGCGCUCCGCAUCCCGCUGC